GACGAACGCUGGCGGCGUGCUUAACACAUGCAAGUCGAACGGUAAGGCCCUUCGGGGUACACGAGUGGCGAACGGGUGAGUAACACGUGGGUGAUCUGCCCUGCACUUCGGGAUAAGCCUGGGAAACUGGGUCUAAUACCGGAUAGGACCACUGCCUGCAUGGGGGGUGGUGGAAAGCUUUUGCGGUGUGGGAUGGGCCCGCGGCCUAUCAGCUUGUUGGUGGGGUGAUGGCCUACCAAGGCGACGACGGGUAGCCGGCCUGAGAGGGUGACCAGCGACACUGUGACUGAGAUCCGGCCCAGACUCCUACGGGAGGCAGCAGUGGGGAAUAUUGCACAAUGGGCGCAAGCCUGAUGCAGCGACGCCGCGUGAGGGAUGACGGCCUUCGGGUUGUAAACCUCUUUCAGCACCGACGAAGCGCAAGUGACGGUAGGUGCAGAAGAAGGACCGGCCAACUACGUGCCAGCCGCCGCAGUAA
rnacentral:rRNA from 1 species